AUAUAUAUAUAUAUAUAUAUAUAUAUAUAUAUAUAUAUAUAUACUAAACUCCUCAGUAGAAAAAAAACACUACAAACGCUUCUCCAAACUUAAAAAAAACAAAAAACAUCAAACCCCAUACCCCAUUUAGCAUAAAUCGUCCAAAUAAACGUAAAAUCUACAAAAAUACACGAAAAGGAAAAAACUCUGAAAACCAGAACGAUAAGUCCCUUUAUUGCUUAUAAAAAAAAAAAAAAAAAAAAAAGAACUGGCCUACUUCGCCAAAUCGUCGCGUUUGUUUCGCAGAUAAAAACCAACAAGAAAGCAAAAAAUCACAAAAACUAUACGGAAUACUGUCCUUUCAUUUUAAACACACCAUCGCUCACAUGUAAGAAAAUCGCCUUAAAAGAAAAAAAAAAAAGGAACCAGGAAAAUAAAGUAAAACUAGCGCCCAGUUAAUAUUAAACGUUCUCUCGCAAACUUAUCCCUUUAUUUCACUCGAGCGACUCAAACCGGCUUCUAAUUAACACCCCAAAUUAUAAACCAAACAAUUCUUACCAUUAACCAUCAGGAAACACGUCAUCCCUCAGGAGCAACUUGCAUUGUCUGAAUUCACAUUACUUGACUCAGCCACUUCUCGUGCCUAUGACUCAAAAAUACUACUGAGACGAAGCCUACACGUCACUCUAGCCAUUGUAACUAACGACUUAAUCGUAUAGUAACAAAACACACGCAUACCGCAUCAAACAACGAGACAAUGCUUCAACUGGCGACAUGCCAAUGGUAUCACUAACUACUACCUCCAUGCAAUGACACGUAGUAAAAAAAAAAUAUAUUAUGGUCUUGUUAAAAAGGUGAGUGAAAAUAAUAGUAUCUAAAAAAAGUGAGUGAUUCAAGCACUUAGGUUUUAUGUCCAAGAGCAUAAAUAAUUUCCUUCGGUCAUUAUUAUUAGACAUGAUAAAAAGCUAAAGAGUUUAGGUGUUACUGUUCCUGUUUUCAAUAAAAACAUAAAUUUUGUCUUCAACCUGUCUGAUAGAGCACUGUCGAAGACAGACGAAUUUCUUUUCUUUGGGACUGGACUUCUGUCUCCCGAAUUUUAAACCUAAUUACCAACAAUUUUUUUUUUCUCACUAUAGAAUCUGUUUCAAAGGAUUAUUGCCUUUGCUUUUAGCACUAAUAUAGAUAACCUAAGUACACAAAUUUCAGCCUUAGCCCACAGCACCUUCAACAACUGAAAAACACGAUGGACCCUAUUCUUCGGAAGAGACGAUUACCUUACCAUUAAGUGGAUCCGUGUCACAGGCCGAUGGCCGAAAGUCAACAUAACGACGCCACACCGUACGAAGUAAUGCGUAAAAAGCCUACGCACCGCGCAAGAUUGACUGGACGCUUUCGUUUAAUUGCCACGGCAACAGGCUACACCCCCACAUGUAGUGCGUGGCCUAGCAAGUAACACCCACGAACACACAAAAUGGCCAGACUGAUUGUAGAGAAUGCCUUCAACAGAAAAGAAACGCAAAAACACAACACAAAAAAAAAAAAACACUUUGUUUAUAGACACCUGGAAUGAUCGGCAGGCAAAGAAAGGUGAAGGUCACAAAGGCGGACCCAUACAGGAGGAGGAAGAGUUUGACCUCUAUGGGCCCAACACCUUUUCUGGCAGUCACAUAUUAUAAAUAAUAGUUUUAGGAAGUAUUCCCUCAAUUUUUGUGUGUAUAUAGUGUCUUUUUUAUUUUUUUUAAAUGUUUUUGUAAAUUAUUUUUUUUAUAUACUUAUUUUUUGUAAUACAUUUGUAAUAAAUAUUUAAUUUGUGGGUGGGUAUGAAUUAUCUUUUCAGUAGUGUUCAGCAAUGGUGAAAUUGAUUUUAGGAAUUAAAAUGUACAAUAUAGCUACAGUUUUUGAAUUUUCAAACAUUUUUCUGGGCGCUCAGGUCGAGCUCGACCCCACAAACCUUUAAAGGGGUACC